CCCUCCGCCGCCGCCGCCGACGAAAAGACCUCUUUGAAUAUUCAUCGAGGGUUUUUGUUUUUUAUGUUUUUUUUAUUAUUAUUAUUAUUAUUAUUCCCCGAACACUGAUAAAUAUUCAACGUGUCAACCGUGUAAACGAUCGCGUUGAAACACUGACGGAAAAAAAUCGCCCGUAUAAAUCCCGAACCGGCUCUCUCGUACACGUUGAAAACGGCGUUUGUUUUUUUUUUUUUCUCCUGUAAUCGUUUGUUAUUUGUUUCCAAUCGUCUUUCGGAAGGGGGGG